ACAGCAGCAGCCACGGUAAUACGUAGGGUGCGAGCGUUAAUCGGAAUUACUGGGCGUAAAGCGUGCGCAGGCGGUUUUGUAAGACAGAGGUGAAAUCCCCGGGCUCAACCUGGGAACUGCCUUUGUGACUGCAAGGCUAGAGUACGGCAGAGGGGGAUGGAAUUCCGCGUGUAGCAGUGAAAUGCGUAGAUAUGCGGAGGAACACCGAUGGCGAAGGCAAUCCCCUGGGCCUGUACUGACGCUCAUGCACGAAAGCGUGGGGAGCAAACAGGAUUAGAUACCCGCGUAGUCCCUGUCUCUUAUAC
rnacentral:rRNA from 1 species